rnacentral:rRNA from 1 species
UACAUGGGGUGCAAACGUUGCUCGGAAUUAUUGGGCGUAAAGCGCGCGUAGGCGGUAAUCUAAGUCGGAUGUGAAAGCCCUCGGCUUAACUGAGGAAGUGCACCCGAAACUGGGUAGCUAGAGUACUAAAGAGGGUCGCGGAAUUCCCGGUGUAGAGGUGAAAUUCGUAGAUAUCGGGAGGAACACCGGUGGCGAAGGCGGCGACCUGGGUAGAUACUGACGCUGAGGCGCGAAAGCGUGGGGAGCAAACAGG